rnacentral:tRNA from 1 species
GGGUAUGACUCAGGGGUAGAGCACUUGCCUAGCAUGCAUGAGGCCCUGGGUUCUAUCCCCAGCAGCACG